AUGUGGUUAGGUGGCACAGAAAUGCUCGAGAUCGUCGCGGAAGCCUGCCCACGCCUGAAGCACUUCAGUCUCAUAAAAAGAGAUCGUUUUUACGAACUUGAGGACAACGGCAAUGCUUUCGCGAUUGCGAAGAUGCACGGGCUACGUUCCUUGUAUCUCGACGGCAACAGACUCACCAACAAAGGGCUGACAGUGAUCCUUGAUGGCUGUCCCCACCUAGAGCACCUUAACGUUUUCGAAUGUAAGUAUCUCAGGAUGGAUGAUGACCUGCUGGAGAAGUGUUCUCGAGUUAACAUGGAUGGCCCUCGGUACUCUUUGCCAUAUCUGCCUUGCAGUUGUUGUUGGAGUCCUGACUAUCCGAAUCACGAGGAUUAUGAGGAUUACCGUGAGGAUUCUUAUUACUACAUCAGUGAUCACAUCGACGACAAUGAUCUUGCAGAACACGAGAGGCUUCUUGACGUCAAGGGCAUGCGGAGGUACUUGCCCUAG
rnacentral:rRNA from 1 species